rnacentral:rRNA from 1 species
GACGAACGCUGGCGGCGCGCCUAACACAUGCAAGUCGAACGGAGCUGCGAGAAGCUUGCUUUUCUUAGCUUAGUGGCGAACGGGUGAGUAACGCGUGAGUAACCUGCCCUGGAGUGGGGGACAACAGUUGGAAACGACUGCUAAUACCGCAUAAGCCCACGAUCCGGCAUCGGAUUGAGGGAAAAGGAUUUAUUCGCUUCAGGAUGGACUCGCGUCCAAUUAGCUAGUUGGUGAGGUAACGGCCCACCAAGGCGACGAUUGGUGGCCGGACUGAGAGGUUGAACGGCCACAUUGGGACUGAGUCACGGCCCAGACUCCUACGGGAGGCAGCAGUGGGGGAUAUUGCACAAUGGGGGAAACCCUGAUGCAGCGACGCCGCGUGGAGGAAGAAGGUUUUCGGAUUGUAAACUCCUGUCGUUAGGGACGAUAAUGACGGUACCUAACAAGAAAGCACCGGCUAACUACGU